AAUGAACGCUGGCGGCAUGCCUUACACAUGCAAGUCGAACGGCAGCAUGACCUAGCUUGCUAGGUUGAUGGCGAGUGGCGAACGGGUGAGUAAUGCAUCGGAACGUGCCUUUUAGUGGGGGAUAACGUAGCGAAAGUUACGCUAAUACCGCAUAUUCUCUGAGGAGGAAAGCAGGGGACCUUCGGGCCUUGCGCUAGAAGAGCGGCCGAUGUCGGAUUAGCUAGUUGGUGAGGUAAAGGCUCACCAAGGCAACGAUCCGUAGCGGGUCUGAGAGGAUGAUCCGCCACACUGGGACUGAGACACGGCCCCGACUCCUACGGGAGGCAGCAGUGGGGAAUUUUGGACAAUGGGCGCAAGCCUGAUCCAGCCAUGCCGCGUGAGUGAAGAAGGCCUUCGGGUUGUAAAGCUCUUUCGGCUGGGAAGAAAUCGCACCCUCUAAUACAGGGUGUGGAUGACGGUACCAGCAUAAGAAGCACCGGCUAACUACGUG
rnacentral:rRNA from 1 species